rnacentral:lncRNA from 1 species
GAUCAGAGCAGGUCCAACUCCUAAAAGUCUUCAACUCCCUCGGAUCAGCUUCCGGGAAACUCCUAAACUAAAGCUGAUUCGCAGAUCUUUUCUCCCAGCUUGGAAUUCCCGACUUGAAUUAUGUUAUGAAUAAUCGGCAUCACUACCUCGCUUCCCGAGGUCGGAAGUAUGUUUUUUCUAAUUAGCUUAGUAUCUGUCCGUUAAGAAUUGAAUUGGACGUUUCCUU